rnacentral:rRNA from 1 species
GACGAACGCUGGCGGCGUGCUUAACACAUGCAAGUCGAACGGAAAGGCCCUGCUUUUGUGGGGUGCUCGAGUGGCGAACGGGUGCGUAACACGUGAGUAACCUGCCCUUGACUUUCGGGUAAGUUCAGGAAACUGGGGCUACUACCGUAUAGGAUACCCUGCUGCAUGGUGGGGGUUGGAACGUCGCGGCGGUUGGGGUUGGAUGCGCGGCUUAUCAGCUUGCUGGUGGGCUAGUGGCUUACCAAGGAUUUGACGGAUAGCCGGCCUGUGAGGGUGACCGGGCACCAUGGGACUGAGAUACGGCCCAGUCUCCUAUGGGAGGCAGCAGUGGGGAAUAUUGCACAAUGGGCGGAAGCCGGAUGCAGCAACGCCGCGUGCGGGAUGACGGCCUUCGGGUUGUAAACCGCUUUCGCCUGUGACGAAGCGUGAGUGACGGUAAUGGGUAAAGAAGCACCGGCUAACUACGUG